AUUGAACGCUGGCGGCAGGCCUAACACAUGCAAGUCGAGCGAGCGGAGGACGGGUGAGUAUUGUAUGGGGACUGCCCGAUAGAGGGGGAUCACUACAGGAAACGGUAGCUAAUACCGCAUCUUACCGGCUACACCAUAUGGGAUUAGCUAGUAGGUGAGGUAAUGGCUCACCUAGGCGAAGAUCCCUAGCUGGUCUGAGAGGAUGAUCAGCCACACUGGGACUGAGACACGGCCCAGACUCCUACGGAGGCAGCAGUGGGGAAUAUUGCACAAUGGGCGCAAGCCUGAUGCAGCCAUGCCGCGUGUAUGAAGAAGGCCCUAGGGUUGUAAAGUACUUUCAGUCGGGAGGCGUUACCGACAGAAGAAGCACCGGCUAACUCCGUGCCAGCAGCCGCGGUAAUUC
rnacentral:rRNA from 1 species